CCGAAGUACAGGCCCCUUCGGGGGCUAAACUUCCACCCUUUGUUUACCAUACCAUUGUUGCUUUGGCGGGCCGCCUAAAAAACUACCGGCUUCGGCUGGUACGUGCCCGCCAGAGAACCCCAAACCCAAACCAUUUAUAGUGUCGUCUGAAUAACAAGUUUAAUAUUUA
rnacentral:misc_RNA from 1 species